rnacentral:rRNA from 1 species
AUUGAACGCUGGCGGCAGGCCUAACACAUGCAAGUCGAGCGGAUGAAGGGAGCUUGCUCCUGGAUUCAGCGGCGGACGGGUGAGUAAUGCCUAGGAAUCUGCCUAGUAGUGGGGGAUAACGUCCGGAAACGGGCGCUAAUACCGCAUACGUCCUGAGGGAGAAAGUGGGGGAUCUUCGGACCUCACGCUAUCAGAUGAGCCUAGGUCGGAUUAGCUAGUUGGUGGGGUAAAGGCCUACCAAGGCGACGAUCCGUAACUGGUCUGAGAGGAUGAUCAGUCACACUGGAACUGAGACACGGUCCAGACUCCUACGGGAGGCAGCAGUGGGGAAUAUUGGACAAUGGACGAAAGCCUGAUCCAGCCAUGCCGCGUGUGUGAAGAAGGUCUUCGGAUUGUAAAGCACUUUAAGUUGGGAGGAAGGGCAGUAAGUUAAUACCUUGCUGUUUUGACGUUACCAACAGAAUAAGCACCGGCUAACUUCGUG